CAGAUACAGAGAAAAUAAGCAUGGCCCCUGGACAAGGAUGACACAUAAGUUCAUGAGGCUUUCCAUAGGUUU
ensembl:snRNA U6 U6 spliceosomal RNA